UGCCCCUGUGUGCCCCCCCGAUGCUCUUCUCCAUUCCUCUAGGUACCCACUGUCCUCAGUUGAUAUGUUCUUCCUGCUCAUAUUUUAAUACAUAAAUUACAUAUGGAUGUAUUUAUAAUCUCUCUUUGCCUUCACGAAUUUUAAAAAAUUAAUGUGAUAUUGUGCUGUAAAUAUUCUGCAACUUGCUUUGUAAUAUUCAAACGUUAUGUUUUAGUAAUUUAUCCGUGCUGAUAACACAGCUCAAGUGCGUUCAUUUUAACUGCUGUGUAGUAUUCCAGCCUCUGAAUACAUCACAAUUUGCCUCUGUGUUUCUCAAUUGAGAGAUGUUCAGGUUGUUGAUACUUUUUUUUCUGAUGACAAAUGAUUCAUCUUUAUACUUUUCUCCUUGGGCACAUAUAGGGGACAUUUGUAUAUCUUCAGUCUUUACCAUAUACUGACAAAUGGCUUUCUAAAGAGGCUAUCUUGUGACGUGGCAGGAAACUUCUAGAGUUGGGAGUCAGGUGACCCAGUUCUGGUCUAACUCUGGCACUGAUUCACAAUGUAAACUUAGGCUCCCCUUCCUUGGACUCAGUUUCUCCAUCUUUAGGAUGAAGGUCAGGACUAGCAGAUGUCCACAGUUCCUUCCUCCUGAGCUGGUUAAAACAAUGUUUUGCAGAAAGAUCUUCUCUUCUAGAAAUAAAAGAAAUCUCCGGAGGCAGGCUUGCUGUAAGCUCCAGAGGAGCGUUAAUGUGGAAGGCAGCUGACACUUUUUGAGCUCCUACCAAGGGUUGGGCACUUUCGUUUCUCAUUUACCUCACACAGGAGAUUAAACAGCUUGCCCGAGAUCACAGAGCGAGGAAGUGUCAGAACCGGGCCUCCAAUCCAGGACUGAGGGAUUCCAGAGCCUGACUCCUGUCUACCGUACAAGCUGCUCUUGCUUUGUCACAAGGCAAGUUCUUACUUGACACCCCCAUCUGGGCUGUUGAAAUGGCAUUCUCCUUGGGAGUCUCCAUGCGCAGGCCAUUGAUGCCAAGGGCCCCUACCCCAGGCAGAGACUGCAGCCCAGGCCCUGCCCCAGGAGUGCAGUGUGAGGAGGGGCUGAGAAAGAGCCCUUCUUUGGAAGGAAGAUAAGGAACAAGUGGGACUGAGUCAGGGACUGGGGCUAUCCCAAAAGCAUGCACUCUAAAGGCAUUUAUCCUCUGACCACAGCUAAUGAACCAAUGAGGAAUCAGCAUCAAUAAGAAGCAAAUUAAACACCAGCUCCAGCUAAUUAGUAAGCACAGCUGCCUGCUUUCCUGCAUUCAAUUUCAGACUCACAUUAUGAAUUGCCUCCCUGGAGAAACCGACCCCCUCCUCCCCAAAAAAGGCCUUGAUUCAAUAAACCAACUUUUAAUGGAGCAGCAUCUUUCAAUCGAAGGACGGCAACUUAUCUCUGGGUCCUCGCUCUGCGGUGACACCAAUUCUCCAAGCUGCCCAAUCUCACUCAAGAUGUUUCACGGUGAGUGUGGAUUAUUAUUUGUAAUUCAAAUGAGCAAUACAUAAGAAGAAAGAAAAGACCCCAGAGUGUAACCACCAAAAUGAGUAUUGAUCCCUUCGGGAGACCGUGUCCACAUUCCAGUCUGUCUGUUCCCAGUGUUCGGACUCUCCCGGGAACAGCCUUCAGUGGCAGUUAACAGCAUAAGAAAUUUUUCUCUUUCUUGUCUUUAUCCUUUAAAAUUACUUUUACAAAAACAUUAACAGGAAGUGGGAUUGCCCACCUUGGUCCUUCCCUGACUCUGAAUGUCUUUUUACUAUUUUCAAAAAUCCAUCCCCCGGUGCCAACCCCUGACUUGAAGGCCAAACACGUUGUCCCUGAAGAUAUUGUGGGGACACACAAUAGGCUCUCUGGAUUCAGUGUCCCUAUCUGUGUUGGAGGAGGUUGGAUGAAGUGGCCUCAGUGUCUGGCUAGUGUUUUAGGAUUCCGAGGCUGCUGGCACCGAGUUCCAAUUCUUGGCACACUCUGGACAGCUGAAGGAUCAGAGAAACCCGUCCACGGUCCUCAGCCUGGUCUUCAACAGCCCUUCCAACCUCCCCUCGCAUCCCCCAUACUCCAGGGUGAGCCGCCCAGCUGGGUGAAUGUGCCCCUGUGUCUAUGCCACCCCCCUCCAUGUGCUUAAACUGCCCAAGCUUUAAGGUUCUACACUGAUUCUUUUAUGAUCUUCUCUGAUCAACUAGUUUGGAUUCUUGUUGCAUUUUCUCUAUAGAUCGUAUGGUGUAUAGAAUCCAAAACAGCCAGCUUUGCUCUGCUUCCACUAUGAUCAAGCACUUCACAUUCCACAUCAGCUGGACAAAAGACACUGAACCGACACAGCGACAGACUCAUAAACGCUGAAAGAAACCCAAAAUAUCAGGGUCCCCCGUAUAAUAAAUCCUUGAAUACUUCCCUUAAACCGGGACUCUCAACAAAGACGAUUUUAUCCUUGAUUCUUGCUGUGACGAUCUCUGAAGG
rnacentral:lncRNA from 1 species